ACCAUAGCUAGGCUGAUUGGCUACUGAAAUUAAUAUAAAUUAAUCUCUAGAUAUAGCAUAGCUUCCAUAGCUUCAUUGAUAUUACAUUUUAAACAGUGAAGCAUACCAAAUAGCGUGCGUAAAGUUUGCUUCAAGUUAGUCGGUUUACUUGAUGUUAGUCGGUUUACUUACAGAUAAAGAUCGUCAUAUCUCGACUAGCUGAGUCGAUCUAGACAUGUGUGGCCGUCCGUCCGUCUGUCCAUUAUAAUUUGUAAACACGAUAAAGGCCACAGUUAUGGACCAAUCUUCACGAAAUUUUGCAUGUAGGAUGGGUUCUUCUGGCCAAUGAAGAUCCCUAUGGUUUUUGGUAAAGAUCAGUUGAUAUUAAGGGGAUGAAAUGGACCAAACACUUUAUUUUUGUCGGUUUUCUGGUCGCUUCACAAAACAUUGCGAAUUUUUACACGGAGAAUGGGAUCGGGGCAAAGAAUAAACAUGCCAGUUUUGAUAAAGAUCGGUCAAUAUUUAGCGGGUCAAAUAGACCCUGACUUUUGUGUGAAAAAUGACAAAAUUUGUGUUCUUUUGCGAUUAGAGUGGUUGACCUUUAAAUUUAUACCAAUUAUAUUAUCGUAUGUACUCGGAUGCGGGUGUUACACUUAAUUAUUAACAGGUGCUUAGGUAUUCAAAUAUUAUUUAGUAAACCAUUACCACACUGGAGGGCGGAAAUAUAGGGGUGAUCGCUUUGAAAUGCUCCAUGAGGUUGCAGUUAUGGUCAAGGACAACGCCUUUAAUUUUCGGUGAUGAUCAGAUAAUAAUUUUGGGCUGAAGUGGACCAAAAACUUAUUUUUUUGUGUUUUUACGAGUCGAUUUGUAGGCCACAGGCCGAAUAGCACAACACAACCCACGGUGAAGGGAAUCUGGACAAGCACUUGGAAGGGCUGUACUGAAUAUUUGUUUACCUCUAGUCGGCCAAGAGGGUGCAAAUAUUGCGAAAUAUUGCUCAAGCUCAGAAUAUAGAACUACAGGAAUUCAAAUUUUCGUUGAAGUUGUGUAGGGUAUCAUAUGGUCGGCCCCGUUCGACUAUACUGCUCGGCUCACUGGUUUUUAAUCUAUUUUUUUUUUUACUUAUGGCUAAAAUAUCCUCCGUCACUUCAAAAUUUUUAUUUCCGCCUCAAAAAAAAUCUUCCCAAAAAAAUAAAAACACAAAAUUAUUAAGUUUAUGGCAAUAAAUAAAUUAAUUAUACAACAACAAAAAAAAAUAUAUAAAAUGUUUUAUUAUUAUUAAUUGGGUACUAAUAAACCGAUUGGAUUAUUAGGAUUCGAGAAAUGCGUUUAAGAAUCACUAUUGCCGUCACUUAAUGCUGACUCAAUUAAUCGGCUAUAUCUUCAAGAGUAGAUCGGAAUAACAAAAAAAUAUGACACCGAGAAUGGGGGGCUUUGGUGCACCUUUUACAUAAAAUCUGACAAAACUAUAUAUGAGAGCUAUAUAAAAUCUGAAUCGAUUUUCUCGAAACUUAGCACAUAUCAUUCUGGACCUAAUUCACUACCCGGUGCCAAAUUUCGUGCAAAUCGAAAUAUAUGAAGGGACUUUGAUUUUCUUUUCGCGGUCUUCAAAGUCUCUUUAUAGUAUCCAGAUUUUUAUUAAGUUGAUUGAAAUAAGUAGUGAAUAUAUUUUCAUUUAUAAUUUUGUUUUUUAAUUUUUUGGUUGAACAUUACAACAACAUUUUUGACAUUUAUUUGUCCAACAGCUGGGCCGAUGCGGCUAUCUUAUUAAAUAUACCUUGGUCAAGUCUUUACGUUUCUAUGUCUUUGAUGUUUGCAAAUGGCAAAUCAAAAUUAAAAAUGUUCCAACUGCUACAAAGGAGGACGAAGAAAAACUUGCCAAUAACGAAGUGUCAAAUUUGUGGCUACACAUUUUAAUGGAAAAUGCACUUUUUGAUGUUCUCUCACCAAAAAAUACUUAACAAAAUACAUGGCAUUGUCACCUCAUUCCCUCGCAAAGGUCUGGAGAUUUGGGUUAAACGUGAACCCAUACCCGGUGAAUCACCAAAAAUGUUUGGCCGUCAUUUUCAAGCUGAUGAUAAGUUGGCGAAGGUCUCGAUGCUUGCAAGGAUUACUUCCGUGAUGAUUUAAUUAAGGCUGAUUGGGCUCUAAUGGUUGAACUGAAGUAACUUUUCCAAAUUUUAUAAAUUGUUUAUAAAUUUUUAA